GUGUGCUAGGUGGGGAGAUAGCGGUGCCCUGUAACUCGCAAUCCGCUACAGCGAGGCUGAAUUCCUGCAGGAGAAUGCUGAUUUUCCUUCAGAGACUGAAAAGUGGUGUUGAGAGUCAAGCCCGACGCAAUUGUAAACUGCGAACCGUGUCAGAUCCGGAAGGAAGCAGCACUAAGCGGAUUCUACGAUGUGCCGCCGGUAAACUUGAUUUGAGCUAACUAUUAGUUUUCUGCUGGGAAUAGGUAUCGAAUGCAGGUGCACAC
rnacentral:SRP_RNA from 1 species